UUUAUUGAACUUGGACACAUACAAAAAGCACAUGAAUUUACACUGAUGAAAACAAUAGAUGUUGGAGGACGCUCGUUCAAACAUAAAAACUAUGGAAAGCCGUUAGGAACAAAAUUAGCUCAGUAACACUCGAAUACAAGGGAUUGCUCAAUACAUACAUAUUAAACAUUCCGAAGACCAUACCUGACAAGUAAUUUGGGAAGUUUAAUACAAAUGUAGAGUUGCUACAUGAGUCACACACUGUAUUUAAGUGUUAUUAAAGUAAACUACCGAGUAUAGGACAGGAUGCUCUCGGGUGGCUUACAGUUCAGUCGAGCUUUAAGUUUAGUAUGUGGAAUAGUGGUAUAAAGAGUUGAAAAAUCAAAUCUUUUAAUGUUGGUACAAUGUUUUAAUGAUUGAGAUUGUAAAUUCACCAAUAACUCUUUUGAAUUUUUCAAUAUCCACAUCUGAUUAACACCACUUCUUGAAUAUGCCGUUUCGGAAUAUUUCUUAUGUCCUUCUUUGACUGCAGUGAGUAUAGCAGUAAGAAAAUUAGAAAGGGGUUUAGUGGAACACUUGGAAGAACCUGCAAUAUACCUUUCC
rnacentral:lncRNA from 1 species